rnacentral:rRNA from 1 species
UCAUCGUAGGGUUAGUCGGGUCCUAAGCUGAGUCCGAAAGGGGUAAGCGAUGGAAAAUCGGUUAAUAUUCCGAUACCAACUGUAGAGCGUGAUGGGAGGACGCAUAGGGCUAUGUGAGGUCACUGAUGGAAUAGUGGCUCGAAGGGUGUAGGCUGGGAGAGAAAGGAAAAUCCACUCUCCUAUAGCUGAGACCUGACAGGCUGUGGAGGCUUUUAGGAGCCAAAACAGAAUCACAGAUGCCGAAGUGCCAAGAAAAGUCUCUAAGCAUAUCUAUAGUUGCCCGUACCGUAAACCGACACAGGUGGGUGAGAUGAGAAUUCUAAGGCGCGUGGAAGAACCAUUGUUAAGGAACUCUGCAAACUAGCACCGUAUCUUCGGUAUAAGGUGUGCCUACUUGGGUGAAGCUCCUAGCGAGUGGAGCCUGAGAGGUUGCAACAAAGAGUCCCUCCCGACUGUUUAC